rnacentral:rRNA from 1 species
GAUGAACGCUGGCGGCGUGCCUAAUACAUGCAAGUCGAGCGAACGGACGAGAAGCUUGCUUCUCUGAUGUUAGCGGCGGACGGGUGAGUAACACGUGGAUAACCUACCUAUAAGACUGGGAUAACUUCGGGAAACCGUAGCUAAUACCGGAUAAUAUUUUGAACCGCAUGGUUCAAAAGUGAAAGACGGUCUUGCUGUCACUUAUAGAUGGAUCCGCGCUGCAUUAGCUAGUUGGUAAGGUAACGGCUUACCAAGGCAACGAUGCAUAGCCGACCUGAGAGGGUGAUCGGCCACACUGGAACUGAGACACGGUCCAGACUCCUACGGGAGGCAGCAGUAGGGAAUCUUCUGCAAUGGGCGAAAGCCUGACGGAGCAACGCCGCGUGAGUGAUGAAGGUCUUCGGAUCGUAAAACUCUGUUAUUAGGGAAGAACAUAUGUGUAAGUAACUGUGCACAUCUUGACGGUACCUAAUCAGAAAGCCACGGCUAACUACGUG